GACGAACCGUGCGAAUGUUAUUCGGAAUCAUUGGGCUUAAAGCGCGUGUAGGCGGGUUCGUGCGUCUGUCGCUGAAAUCCCCCGGCUCAACCGGGGAACGGGCGCGGAUACGACGAGCCUGGAGGGGCAUAGGGGGACCUGGAACUUCCGGUGGAGCGGUGAAAUGCGUUGAGAUCGGAAGGAACGCCCGUGGCGAAAGCGAGGUCCUGGAUGCCUACUGACGCUGAGACGCGAAAGCCAGGGGAGCGAACGGG
rnacentral:rRNA from 1 species